AGUGAACGCUGGCGGUAGGCCUAACACAUGCAAGUCGAACGGCAGCACAGGAGAGCUUGCCCUCUGGGUGGCGAGUGGCGGACGGGUGAGGAAUACAUCGGAAUCUACUUUUUCGUGGGGGACAACGUAGGGAAACUUACGCUAAUACCGCAUACGACCUACGGGUGAAAGCAGGGCAUCUUCGGACCUUGCGCUAUUGAAUGAGCCGAUGUCGGAGUAGCUAGUUGGCGGGGUAAAGGCCCAACAAGGCGACGAUCCGUAGCUGGUCUGUGAGGAUGAUCAGCCACACUGGAACUGAGACACGGUCCAGACUCCUACGGGAGGCAGCAGUGGGGAAUAUUGGACAAUGGGCGCAAGCCUGAUCCAGCCAUACCGCGUGGGUGAAGAAGGCCUUCGGGUUGUAAAGCCCUUUUGUUGGGAAAGAAAUCCAGCUGGUUAAUACCCGGUUGGGAUGACGGUACCCAAAGAAUAAGCACCGGCUAACUUCGUGCCAGCCGCCGCGGUAA
rnacentral:rRNA from 1 species